rnacentral:rRNA from 1 species
UACGGAGGAUGCAAGCGUUAUCCGGAAUGAUUGGGCGUAAAGCGUCCGCAGGUGGCUAUGUAAGUCUGCUGUUAAAGAGUGAGGCUCAACCUCAUAAGAGCAGUGGGAACUACAUGGCUAGAGUGCGUUCGGGGCAGAGGGAAUUCCUGGUGUAGCGGUGAAAUGCGUAGAUAUCAGGAAGAACACCGGUGGCGAAAGCGCUCUGCUAGGCCGCAACUGACACUGAGGGACGAAAGCUAGGGGAGCGAAUGGG